rnacentral:rRNA from 1 species
UACGUAGGCAGCAAGCGUUGUUCGGAGUUACUGGGCGUAAAGGGUGCGUAGGCGGCUUUUUAAGUUUGGUGUGAAAUCUCCCGGCUCAACUGGGAGGGUGCGCCGAAUACUGAGAGGCUAGAGUGUGGGAGAGGAAAGUGGAAUUCCUGGUGUAGCGGUGAAAUGCGCAGAUAUCAGGAGGAACACCGGUGGCGAAGGCGGGUCUCUGGGCCGUAACUGACGCUGAGGCAUGAAAGCGUGGGGAGCAAACAGG